rnacentral:lncRNA from 1 species
GCAUAUGACAAAUACUAAAAGCAUGUAACAAAAAAAAUCUUCCGCGCGAUCGAGUGGCGGUCUUCGAAGGAGUCCGGGUGGGUUCCAGCCUGCGCCGACUCCCGGAUGCCGGAGAAAAAAACGGCCUUUCGGCGAUCGAGAGGGCGAGCACGCGCCAAUCGGAACGGAAUUCAACGUGUUUCUCUCCGAUUAUUUUGUUCGGCGAAUUUUUGGGUUUUAGGGUCCCCCCAC